CGUUUAUCUCAAUUCCAAAAUAACAAGUAUAAUAAAACCCUCGAAAAUGGAGAGUAGUUGAUCAAGAAUCUUGUCCUUGUCUAUGGCGUCCAUGCCUUAUUUUUCUAUUUUCUUUUCUGAGCUAUAUUUACAUCACAACCAUUUGUGAUUAAAGCUAUCUCAGAUGUAAUUUUCCUCUGUCAAUUCCAGACCUCUGCUGAUAGGUCUCGGGUACAUCAACAUAUCUCAAAUGUACCUUUCCUCUGUUAAUAAACACUGGGGUGCUGUCGAGAGAGAUUUUGCAGGAGCAUUCGUCAUAUUGUCCCACCGGACAAUGUGUCAAAUACGUGCACUGUCGAACCUCUAUGUUCUUCGCAGUAUGUGAGAUAAAAAUGGAGAGUAGCUUAAUAAUGGGUAGCCUGCAGGGAAAGCCGAGUCUCCGGGUAAAAAUUGAGGAGCUUAAUUUCGUGUUUUCUGUGGUACUUCGACGAG
rnacentral:misc_RNA from 1 species